GAGAGUUAAAUAGUACGUGAAAUUGUUGAAAGGGAAACGCUUGAAGUCAGUCGUGCCGGCGUUGGAUUCAGCUUGCUUCGCGGAGCAGGCGUAUUUCCGCGCAUGGCAGGUCAGCGUCAGUUUUGCGCGGCGUGAAAAGGCUCGGGUAAGGUAGCUCUCUUCGGGGAGUGUUAUAGACCUGGGCAGAUGCGCUGCGCGGGACUGAGGAUUGCAGCGGACACCCCCUCGGGGGCGCGGCGACCGAACCCUGCUCGGCCACCCUCGUUCGAUAGCGUGCUAGCGGACGCGGGAGCGGCGGUGCACCGGAACAGGCAAGCCAGCGGUUCGCUAAGGAUGCUGACGUAAUGGCUUUAAACGA
rnacentral:rRNA from 1 species